UACGGAGGAUGCGAGCGUUAUCCGGAUUUACUGGGUGUAAAGGGAGCGUAGGCGGCUUAGUAAGUCAGAAGUGAAAGCCCGGGGCUCAACCCCGGCCCGCCGUUGAAACUGGCAGUCUCGAGUUGGAGAGAAGUAUGCGGAAUGCGCGGUGUAGCGGUGAAAUGCAUAGAUAUAACUUAGAACACCGAUAGCGAAGGCAGCUUACCAGACUGAGUCUGACGCUGAUGCACGAGAGCAUGGGUAGCGAACAGG
rnacentral:rRNA from 1 species